GUGUCAGCCGCCGCGGUAAUACGAAGGUGGCAAGCGUUACUCGGAAUUACUAGGCGUAAAGGGCAGGUAGGUGGUUUGAUAAGUCUGUUGUGUAAGCUCCCGGCUUAACUGGGAGAGGUCAACGGAAACUAUCAGGCUUGAGUAUAGGAGAGGGUACUGGAAUUCCCGGUGUAGCGGUGAAAUGCGCAGAGAUCGGGAGGAACACCAAAGGCGAAAGCAGGUACCUGGACUAUUACUGACACUCAGCUGCGAAAGCUAGGGGAGCAAACAGGAUUAGAUACCCCGGUAGUCC
rnacentral:rRNA from 1 species